UAUCUCAGUCAGUAGAGAAUCUGCCUGCAGUGCAGGAAACCCGGGUUCAAUCCCUGG
rnacentral:tRNA from 1 species